UUAGUGGCGGACGGGUGAGUAACGCGUGGGUAACCUGCCUUGUACUGGGGGACAACAGUUGGAAACGACUGCUAAUACCGCAUAAGCGCACAGCUUCGCAUGAAGCAGUGUGAAAAACUCCGGUGGUACAAGACGGACCCGCGUCUGAUUAGCUGGUUGGUGAGGUAACGGCCCACCAAGGCGACGAUCAGUAGCCGGCCUGAGAGGGUGAACGGCCACAUUGGGACUGAGACACGGCCCAAACUCCUACGGGAGGCAGCAUG
rnacentral:rRNA from 1 species